rnacentral:rRNA from 1 species
GACGAACGCUGGCGGCGUGCUUAACACAUGCAAGUCGAGCGGUAAGGCCCUUUCGGGGGUACACGAGCGGCGAACGGGUGAGUAACACGUGGGUGACCUGCCCUCAGCUCUGGGAUAAGCCUGGGAAACCGGGUCUAAUACUGGAUAUGACUCCAUGACGCAUGUUGUGGGGUGGAAAGCCUUGUGCGGCUGAGGAUGGGCCCGCGGCCUAUCAGCUUGUUGGGGGGUGAUGGCCUACCAAGGCGACGACGGGUAGCCGGCCUGAGAGGGCGACCGGCCACACUGGGACUGAGACACGGCCAGACUCCUACGGGAGGCAGCAGUGGGGAAUCUUGCGCAAUGGGCGAAAGCCUGACGCAGCGACGCCGCGUGAGGGAUGACGGCCU